CCUGGUGGCCUAAAUACCUUAAAAGCACCAGAUUCCAUCUGAUCUUUGACACUAAACAGGGUCAGAUUUGGUUAGAACUUAGAUGCGAGACCAUCAACAAAUACCAGCUGCUGUAGGC
rnacentral:rRNA from 1 species